rnacentral:tRNA from 1 species
GCGAAAGUGGCGGAAUUGGUAGACGCGCUGGACUUAGGAUCCAGUGGCCGAGAGGCCAUAGGGGUUCGAUUCCCCUCUUUCGCA